rnacentral:piRNA from 6 species
UGGUUCAGUGGUAGAAUUCUCGCCU